AGUGAACGCUGGCGGUAGGCCUAACACAUGCAAGUCGAACGGCAGCACGGUAAGAGCUUGCUCUUACGGGUGGCGAGUGGCGGACGGGUGAGGAAUACAUCGGAAUCUACUUUUUCGUGGGGGGAUAACGUAGGGAAACUUACGCUAAUACCGCAUACGACCUACGGGUGAAAGCAGGGGAUCUUCGGACCUUGCGCGAUUGAAUGAGCCGAUGUCGGAUUAGCUAGUUGGCGGGGUAAAGGCCCACCAAGGCGACGAUCCGUAGCUGGUCUGAGAGGAUGAUCAGCCACACUGGAACUGAGACACGGUCCAGACUCCUACGGGAGGCAGCAGUGGGGAAUAUUGGACAAUGGGCGCAAGCCUGAUCCAGCCAUACCGCGUGGGUGAAGAAGGCCUUCGGGUUGUAAAGCCCUUUUGUUGGGAAAGAAAAGCAGCAGGUUAAUACCCCGCUGUUCUGACGGUACCCAAAGAAUAAGCACCGGCUAACUUCGUG
rnacentral:rRNA from 1 species